rnacentral:rRNA from 1 species
UAGGGAAUCUUCCGCAAUGGGCGAAAGCCUGACGGAGCAACGCCGCGUGAGUGAUGAAGGUCUUCGGAUCGUAAAACUCUGUUAUUAGGGAAGAACAAAUGUGUAAGUAACUAUGCACGUCUUGACGGUACCUAAUCAGAAAGCCACGGCUAACUACGUGCCAGCAGCCGCGGUAAUACGUAGGUGGCAAGCGUUAUCCGGAAUUAUUGGGCGUAAAGCGCGCGUAGGCGGUUUUUUAAGUCUGAUGUGAAAGCCCACGGCUCAACCGUGGAGGGUCAUUGGAAACUGGAAAGCUUGAGUGCAGAAGAGGAAAGUGGAAUUCCAUGUGUAGCGGUGAAAUGCGCAGGGAUAUGGAGGAACACCAGUGGCGAAGGCGACUUUCUGGUCUGUAACUGAAGCUGAUGUGCGAAAGCGUGGGGAUCAAACAGG